UUUAUUGGAGAGUUUGAUCCUGGCUCAGGACGAACGCUGGCGGCGUGCCUAAUACAUGCAAGUCGAGCGAGGGUCUUCGGACCCUAGCGGCGGACGGGUGAGUAACACGUAGGCAACCUGCCUCUCAGACUGGGAUAACAUAGGGAAACUUAUGCUAAUACCGGAUAGGUUUUUGGAUCGCAUGAUCCGAAAAGAAAAGGCGGCUUCGGCUGUCACUGGGAGAUGGGCCUGCGGCGCAUUAGCUAGUUGGUGGGGUAACGGCCUACCAAGGCGACGAUGCGUAGCCGACCUGAGAGGGUGACCGGCCACACUGGGACUGAGACACGGCCCAGACUCCUACGGGAGGCAGCAGUAGGGAAUUUUCCACAAUGGACGAAAGUCUGAUGGAGCAACGCCGCGUGAACGAUGAAGGUCUUCGGAU
rnacentral:rRNA from 1 species